rnacentral:tRNA from 1 species
GGGAGUUUAGCAUAUUGGCUAUGCACCAGUCUCCAAAACUGUUUUAAAUGGGUUCGAUUCCUAUAACUCCCG